CGCUAGCGGCAGGCCUAACACAUGCAAGUCUAGGGGCAUCACGAGGUAUCAAUACUUUGGUGGCGACCGGCGCACGGGUGCGUAACGCGUAUGUAACCUACCUAUAACAGGGGCAUAACACUGAGAAAUUGGUACUAAUUCCCCAUAAUAUUCGGAGAGGCAUCUCUCCGGGUUGAAAACUCCGGUGGUUAUAGAUGGACAUGCGUUGUAUUAGCUAGUUGGUGAGGUAACGGCUCACCAAGGCAACGAUACAUAGGGGGACUGAGAGGUUAACCCCCCACACUGGUACUGAGACACGGACCAGACUCCUACGGGAGGCAGCAGUGAGGAAUAUUGGUCAAUGGACGCAAGUCUGAACCAGCCAUGCCGCGUGCAGGAAGACGGCUCUAUGAGUUGUAAACUGCUUUUGUACGAGGGUAAACUCACCUACGUGUAGGUGACUGAAAGUAUCGUACGAAUAAGGAUCGGCUAACUCCGUGCCAGCAGCCGCGGUAAUACGGAGGAUUCAAGCGUUAUCCGGAUUUAUUGGGUUUAAAGGGUGCGUAGGCGGUUUGAUAAGUUAGAGGUGAAAUCCCGGGGCUUAACUCCGGAACUGCCUCUAAUACUGUUAGACUAGAGAGUAGUUGCGGUAGGCGGAAUGUAUGGUGUAGCGGUGAAAUGCUUAGAGAUCAUACAGAACACCGAUUGCGAAGGCAGCUUACCAAACUAUAUCUGACGUUGAGGCACGAAAGCGUGGGGAGCAAACAGGAUUAGAUACCCUGGUAGUCCACGCAGUAAACGAUGAUAACUCGUUGUCGGCGAUACACAGUCGGUGACUAAGCGAAAGCGAUAAGU
rnacentral:rRNA from 1 species